UCCCGCAAGGGAUAGUCGAGCGGCGAACGGGUGAGUAACGCGUGGAUAACCUGCCCUGAGGUGGGGGAUAACCAAGGGAAACUUUGGCUAAUACCGCAUGAUACCGAGAGGUCAAAGGGGGCUCGCAAGGGCUCUCGCCAUAGGAGGGGUCCGCGUACGAUUAGCUAGUUGGUAGGGUAAUGGCCUACCAAGGCGACGAUCGUUAGCCGGCCUGAGAGGGUGAUCGGCCACACUGGAACUGAGACACGGUCCAGACUCCUACGGGAGGCAGCAGUGGGGAAUUUUGCGCAAUGGGCGAAAGCCUGACGCAGCAACGCCGCGUGGAGGAUGAAGGUCCUUGGAUUGUAAACUCCUGUCAGCAGGGAAAAAGCGACUUGACCUCAUACGUCAGGGAGUUGAUUGUACCUGCAGAGGAAGCCCCGGCUAACUCUGUGCCAGCAGCCGCGGUAAUACAGAGGGGGCAAGCGUUAUUCGGAAUUAUUGGGCGUAAAGGGCGCGUAGGCGGCUUGGCAAGUGGAAGGUGAAAUCCCUCGGCUUAACCGAGGAACUGCCCUCCAAACUGCUUCGCUUGAGACCGGGAGAGGUGAGUGGAAUUCCCAGUGUAGCGGUGAAAUGCGUAGAUAUUGGGAGGAACACCAGUGGCGAAGGCGGCUCACUGGACCGGUACUGACGCUGAUGCGCGAAAGCGUGGGGAGCAAACGGGAUUAGAUACCCCGGUAGUCCACGCCGUAAACGAUGAGUGCUUGGUGUAGCGGGUAUCGACCCCUGCUGUG
rnacentral:rRNA from 1 species